GUUACUAUAAAAUGUGGCGUGUCCAGUGACAACGCUAAACUUGUUUGGUUCAAACAGAGUUUUGGAAAGCUUCCUCAGUUGGUAGGGAGAGCAGUGGAGAAAGAUUUCAGACUUGGUUCAGAAUUUAAUGAUGGACGCUUCAGUGAUAGUGAUGUAAAAUUGUUUAAUCUCAACAUUAAAUAUGUGAAAGAAGAGGAUACAGGAACAUACUUCUGUGUAGAAAUGCUGGGCAGUUCACCAGACUUUACAUCUGGAACCCUUUUGGUUGUUGAAGACAAAGAGAAGACACACCGUAAUACAACAACACCCAGCCGCAAUAAAACAAGCGAACACAACUGGAUUAUUCCCUUAUUAAUAGCCUCC